UGCUAUACCAUAUAUCAGCAGGAGAAGAUACGACCUCUCCUAGGAGACGUGUGAUCUAUACCAGAACACUCUGAGGAGGAGUGAACGCACUCCCCUCUUCAUGCUACACAGAGUUGUUAUAGACCUCCUAGGAUGAGACAUUCUUUCAAUCUACAAAUGAUUAGCGCUCAAGGAAAAAGUUUGUACGAAGAGUUUACGAUUCACCUGGACCAAACCACACUUGGCAUGUUGAUGGAUAUGACAAAUUAAAGCCAUAUGGUUUGGCUAUCAGUGGUUGUAUUGAUGGCUAUUCGCGGAAGGUAUUAUGGUUGGUUUGCAGAGCAACUAACAGCAACCCAGAAGUCAUAGCUCAACACUACGUUCAGUGUGCUUCAGAGUUUGGAGUCAUACCAGUGCGACUUCGCACUGACUGCGGCACUGAAAAUGGGACGAUGGCAGCAAUGCAUUGUGCCUUACGGUCAUCUCAUCAAGAUUUUUUUGCAGGAGCUGCCAGUCAUAUGUAUGGAUCUUCAACAACAAAUCAAAGAAUUGAAAGCUGGUGGCCGUACUUCAGAAAACAGCGAACACAGUUCUGGAUGGACCUUUUGAGUGACAUGAAGGAAAUGCACCUCUUCAAUGGUAGUCAUGAACACAUGUGCUUGGUGCGCUUCAUUUUCAUGGCUGUGCUUCAGAGGGAUCUGGAUGAAUGCAAAAGAAAGUGGAACACGCACCUGAUCCGUCCAGUUAGUCAGUCACGCUGUCCAUCUGGUAAACCCGAUGUGAUGUAUUACCUACCUCAUAGAGUUUAGGUUUGGUGGACGUGACUGUGGCCUUGCAGUUGGACAUCAAGAGCUGAGUCAGUUCAGGAUGAGUUCAACUCCCGAUUUCUGUGGAGACCCUCACCUACAGGAAUAUUUUGAAGGACUAAACAGUGGCUUCAGUUCAUCACAGACAUUGAAACUACAUCAGACUAAAAGGACUUGCUGGGUUGUAAUGCCAAGGUUCCCACACAUCCCAGAACUGUGGAGUCCACUUUGUGGUUAUAAUAAUGCACCACCUGCACUUUUGUGAAGGCUAAAAAAAAUGUUUUUUGCUUCAAGUAGAACACAAUUAUAGUUCAUCAGUUUAUAGUCACUUAAAAAAUAGCCUUUGUGUUUUUCCA